rnacentral:rRNA from 1 species
GACGUAGGAUGCGAGCGUUAUUCGGAUUUAUUGGGCGUAAAGCGUGCGUAGGCGGCUGUUUAAGUCUGGUGUUAAAGCUAGGGGCUCAACCCCUGUGGUGCAUCGGAUACUGGGCAGCUUGAGUGCGGUAGGGGAAGGUGGAAUUCCGAGUGUAGAGGUGAAAUUCGUAGAUAUCAAGCAGAACACCUGCGGCGAAGGCGGCCUUCUGGACGAUGACUGACGCUGAGACACGAAAGCGUGGGGAGCAAACAGG